GGACCAUCUCCUAAGGCUAAAUACUCUCUAGUGACCGAUAGUGAACCAGUACCGUGAGGGAAAGGUGAAAAGCACCCCGGAAGGGGAGUGAAAUAGAACCUGAAACCGUGUGCUUACAAGUAGUCAGAGCCCGUUAAUGGGUGAUGGCGUGCCUUUUGUAGAAUGAACCGGCGAGUUACGAUUUGAUGCAAGGUUAAGCAGUAAAUGUGGAGCCGUAGCGAAAGCGAGUCUGAAUAGGGCGUUUAGUAUUUGGUCGUAGACCCGAAACCAGGUGAUCUACCCUUGGUCAGGUUGAAGUUCAGGUAACACUGAAUGGAGGACCGAACCGACUUACGUUG
rnacentral:rRNA from 1 species